UACGUAGGGUGCAAGCGUUAAUCGGAAUUACUGGGCGUAAAGCGUGCGCAGGCGGUGAUGUAAGACAGUUGUGAAAUCCCCGGGCUUAACCUGGGAACUGCAUUUGUGACUGCAUGGCUAGAGUGUGUCAGAGGGAGGUGGAAUUCCGCGUGUAGUAGUGAAAUGCGUAGAGAUGCGGAGGAACACCGAUGGCGAGGGCAGCCUCCUGGGAUAACACUGACGCUCAGGCACGAAAGCGUGGGGAGCAAACAGG
rnacentral:rRNA from 1 species